rnacentral:rRNA from 1 species
UGAACACCAGUGGCGAAGGCGACUUUCUGGACUGUAACUGACGCUGAGGUACGAAAGCGUGGGUAGCGAACAGGAUUAGAUACCCUGGUAGUCCACGCCGUAAACGAUGGAUACUAGGUGUAGGGGGUAUCGACCCCCCUGUGCCGGAGUUAACGCAAUAAGUAUCCCGCCUGGGGAGUACGGUCACAAGACUGAAACUCAAAGGAAUUGACGGGGGCCCGCACAAGCAGCGGAGCAUGUGGUUUAAUUCGAAGCAACGCGAAGAACCUUACCAGGGCUUGACAUCCCGAUGACCGGUACAGAGAUGUACCUUCCCUUCGGGGCAUUGGAGACAGGUGGUGCAUGGUUGUCGUCAGCUCGUGUCGUGAGAUGUUGGGUUAAGUCCCGCAACGAGCGCAACCCCUAUCCUUAGUUGCCAUCAGUUAAAGCUGGGCACUCUAAAGAGACUGCCGGGGAUAACUCGGAGGAAGGUGGGGAUGACGUCAAAUCAUCAUGCCCCUUAUGUCCUGGGCUACACACGUGCUACAAUGGCCUGUAACAGAGGGAAGCGAAGUCGUAAGGCGGAGCAAAACUCAGAAACCAGGUCCCAGUUCGGAUUGUGGGCUGCAACUCGCCCACAUGAAGUCG